GGAGCUUGUAAGGUCCCUGGCCAAGGAGCUGGAGAGGCCAGGGGCCAGGACUUGGGUUUGAUUUCCUUAGUCUCCACAGUGAACUGAAAUCUGAAGUUGAUGCUAUUAAGAUUGUCCCCUUGCCUGGAGAGCAAGAAGGGCAUCCAAGACAGUGAACGUGGCUCCCAGGAGUCCUACCCAGUUCCCAGAAGUUGCCUAUUCCUCAAGUAGCCCUUUUCAUUGCAUUCUGAUGGAGGCUGUCCUGAACAUCUGGAAUGAGGGGACCAAGUCCUAAAAUUUGGGCUUUCUGAAGUCUGGCAGACUCAAACACAAAGCAAAAUGCAACUACAAUCAUCUCCACAUACCAGGUUAUAGGCCAGGGGUAUUCCAAAGUCAGAAGGAAUUAACCCACAUAACAAAAAGGGAGGAUUGCCACCUAUAGUGCAUCUUCGAUGUACCAAGAACCUUCUGCUCCAGGCCUCACUGUGGUUUGAUGAUUGGAGAUUGCCAUCCCCAUUCUACAGAUGGAGAAACUGA
rnacentral:lncRNA from 1 species